rnacentral:lncRNA from 1 species
CCGGAUUUAAUUUGGCAGCUUAGCAUAUCGACCUGCCCCGUUAAAAUUUAGGAAACUCCGAAUCAAUCUACUUGCCUAAAUCGGUCUUUCUUUUCGGACAAAUAUGGUAACUUUUCUAUUGCGAUUCAGGAAACCAGCACUUUCCUUAUCAUUGUCCCCUCCUCUCGUGACUAUUAUAUAUAUAUAUGAAUUGUCCCCUCCUCUUGUGACUAUUAUAUAUUAGCCUUGGAAAGAAAGCAGCUGAAAGACAAGAUGGAUGAAGUUCUUGAACAAGUUCGAGAAGUUGGAGACGAGCUAACACAAAUUCGAGAUACCGCUACCCUCCUGGCUGCUCAUUUGAGAUUGAAAAAGGCUAAGGCUCGGUAUGUUUCUUCUCUUCUCGGUUUCGAUCUUGUUCAAGAUUCAAUUGUUGUAGUGUUCUUGAAUUAUCACCAAAGAAUUAAGUACACAAAGCUACAACAUAAUGUUGAUGCUGAUUAGGUGAUUGGCAUUAAUUUAUGUUGCGAAUCAUGUCAUGAUAACUUGAUCGUGUGAUCAUAAUCUCAUUAAAUUUGUGCCCUCAUCGUUUCUAGGUUCAUCAAGUCAAGGCAAGAGCUGGAGGCUGAGAUGGUUGCUAGUCAGCAUAUUGUGAAACAGGACGAGAAACAGGAAGCUUUAAGCUCGAUGUCUAUAAAGGCCAUAAAGCUGAAUACUCAACAUCUUAAGAUUCGAGAAGAGGAGUUGAAACUGCAAGCUCAACUUAGUACUCCGCUGUAAUAGAGGCAAAUGAUUCGAGUCUGAAACCAAUGUAAAUCCUAUUUCGUUAUUUUUCCUUCUUCAUGAGUUUUGUUCCCUUUGAUUUUGGUUCGACUGUAAUAGAGGCAAUUGAUUCGAGUCCGAAACCAAUGUAAAUCCUAUUUCGUUAUUUUCCCUUCUUCAUGAGUUUUGUCCCCUUUGAUUUUGGUGAUUAGUUGUCUAUGCUCAGAAUGUUCUCUAAGCAAGAUGUUGCAUAAUUUGGUACUAAGUUAAUUUAGUCAUUGGAAUGAUUUGUGAUAUUGGGAUGAAAUGGGGAUCUCUGUAUUAUACUUAAGAUUCUUUACUAGUCUUUUUUUUUCCACGAUUAUUAAUAAUCAAAUACAACGUAGAGCAACUGCUUUUCAA